rnacentral:misc_RNA from 1 species
GAUGAAGAACGUAGCGAAAUGCGAUAAGUAAUGUGUAUUGCAGAAUUCAGUGAAUCAUCGAAUCUUUGAACGCACAUUGCGCCCGCCAGCAUUCUGGCGGGCAUGCCUGUUCGAGCGUCAUUUCAACCCUCGAGCCCCCCCGGGGGCCUCGGUGUUGGGGGACGGCACACCAGCCGCCCCCGAAAUGCAGUGGCGACCCCGCCGCAGCCUCCCCUGCGUAGUAGCACACACCUCGCACCGGAGCGCGGAGGCGGUCACGCCGUAAAACGCCCAACUUUCUUAGAGUUGACCUCGGAUCAGGUAGGAAUACCCGCUGAACUUAAGCAUAUCAAUAAGCGGAGGA